rnacentral:rRNA from 1 species
AGUGAACGCUGGCGGUAGGCCUAACACAUGCAAGUCGAACGGCAGCACAGUAAGAGCUUGCUCUUACGGGUGGCGAGUGGCGGACGGGUGAGGAAUACAUCGUAAUCUACUUUUUCGUGGGGGAUAACGUAGGGAAACUUACGCUAAUACCGCAUACGACCUACGGGUGAAAGCAGGGGAUCUUCGGACCUUGCGCGAUUGAAUGAGCCGAUGUCGGAUUAGCUAGUUGGCGGGGUAAAGGCCCACCCAGGCGACGAUCCGUAGCUGGUCUGAGAGGAUGAUCGGCCGCACUGGAACGGAGACACGGUCAAGACUCCUAAGGGAGGCAGCAGUGGGGAAUAUUGGACAAUGGGCGCAAGCCUGAUCCAGCCAUACCGCGUGGGUGAAGAAGGCCUUCGGGUUGUAAAGCCCUUUUGUUGGGAAAGAAAAGCAGCAGGUUAAUACCCCGCUGUUCUGACGGUACCCAAAGAAUAAGCACCGGCUAACUUCGUG